GAUUGAUGAUGAUGAAUGCAUUGUAUGUUUAAUUGUUAAUCAUACAUGUUAGUUAAGUGGAGUCACAUGGAGUUGCAUUGCAUGGUCAGUUGUAUGUAGAUAUACACAAGUAGGUCCAUUGCAUAUGCAUAAAAACAGCGGUGAGGGCUUCGGUCCUGGAGUACUAGUUGCUCAACAGCGGUGAGGGCUUCGGUCCUGAUGAAUGCUUUAACCAUUCAAAAGCGGUGAGGGCCUCGGUCCUGAUUGGUACCGCAUGCAUAAUUGCAUCUCAUUCAGAAGUCUAAGAUGGUGUCUUAGCAGUGGUCAUGUCAUUUGCAUGAGUCUUGAUGUAAUGAUGAUGUUGAUGUUUGAUAUACAUUCUUAUAUGUGUGUAUUCAUUGUGGUCUUGGUGUAUUGUUGAUGCUGAUGAUAUUAUAUACAUUGUAUACUACUUGUUAAGUGGAUGAUUAUGAUGGUAUUGUUGUGAUUGUGAAUAAUUAUAAUAUUUGCAAGUGAACAUGUUGAAGUUAUAGGGUGUUAGAUUCAUUUGAUGAUUUUAAUAUCUAUAUUUAUUGUUGUGAAUCUCACCCCUUCUGCUUGAAAAUGUUGCCCUUCCUAUGGGUAACUUGCAGGUGAUCCUGAGUAGUCGGUGGUGGCUCAAGAGUCGUGUCUAGGGCUCUGAUACGUGGGUUGGGAGUCAUUUUAUUAUUUCAUUGUUGUUUUCCCUUCCAUGUAUCAAAUUUUGGAACUCGCUGAUGUGCCCUUUCAUUGGCUAACUUUUGUUGUUUAGGCUUAAUGCCAAGAUGUUGUUGGAGAUUAAAAUAUUGUUGUUGCUAUUGAAAAUGCAAAACUUUCCGCUGCAUUAAUUUGAAGUUAAGACUGUUGUUGAAUUAAAUAGUUUUAUUUUCUAUUUAAGAAUUUCGAUGUUGCGAUGUAGCAUGCCCGUUUGGUGUAAUACUCUGAUGUUUAUAUGCUAUUUUAUUCCUUUUGGGUAACGGGGUGUUACAAUUUGGUAUCAGAGCAGGUUGGUCCGUCCGGCCGAGUAGUAGAGUCUUGUUGAGCCACCUAGGAUAGAGUGUCAACUUUGUUGUUGCUUUUUGUUGUUGUUCUGAGUUGUUGUUUGUCGUGUAGAACCUCGAGAUGACUGGAAGUAGUGAUGCUGCUCUUGUUGCUGCGCUUGAGGCUGUAGCUCAAGCUGUUCAACAGCAACCUAAGGCUGAAACUGGUGGUGAUGGAACCAGGAUGCUUGAGACUUUCCUGAGGAAUCAUCCACCAACUUUCAAGGGUAGGUAUGAUCCUGACGGUGCACAGAAGUGGCUGAAGGAAAUUGAAAGGAUUUUCAGGGUCAUGCAGUGUUCCGAGGUUCAAAAGGUGCGGUUUGGGACGCACAUGCUAGCUGAGGAGGCUGAUGAUUGGUGGGUGAGUUUGCUGCCUGUGUUGGAACAGGGUGAUGUUGUGGUUACCUGGACCAUGUUCAGGAAGGAGUUCCUAGGCAGGUAUUUUCCAGAAGAUGUCAGAGGUAAGAAGGAGAUUGAAUUUCUGGAGUUGAAACAGGGUGACAUGUCUGUCACAGAGUAUGCUGCAAAGUUUGUGGAGCUUGCCACAUUCUACCCUCAUUACAGUGCGGAGACAGCUGAGUUCUCCAAGUGUAUCAAGUUUGAGAAUGGGUUGAGGGCUGACAUCAAAAGGGCUAUUGGGUAUCAGCAGAUCAGAGUCUUCUCUGAGUUGGUUAAUAGGUGCAGAAUCUAUGAAGAAGACACCAAAGCUCAUUAUAAGAUUAUGAGUGAGAGGAGGGGUAAGGGACAACAGAAUCGUCCUAAGCCUUACAGUGCUCCUACUGACAAAGGAAAGCAGAGGAUGGGUGAUGAUAGGAGGCCCAAGAGGAGAGAUGCUCCAGCUGAGAUUGUUUGUUACAAGUGUGGUGAGAAAGGCCACAAGAGUAAUGUCUGUGGGAGAGAUGAUAGGAAGUGCUUCAGGUGUGGUCAGAAGGGUCACAGUUUGGCUGAAUGCAAGCGUGGGGACAUUGUCUGUUACAACUGCAAUGGGGAAGGUCAUAUUAGUUCACAGUGUCCUGAGCCGAGGAAGACUAGAAUUGGUGGGAAAGUGUUUGCUUUGACUGGUACGCAGACUCCUAAUGAGGACCGACUUAUCAGAGGUACUUGUUUCUUUAAUAGUACUCCUUUAAUUGCUAUUAUUGAUACUGGUGCUACUCAUUGUUUUAUUGCUAUUGAAUGUGCAUAUAAGUUGGGUUUAGAUGUGUCUGAUAUGAAAGGGGAAAUGGUUGUUGAAACUCCAGCUAAGGGUUCAGUAACCACUUCUCUUGUUUGUCUGCGGUGUCCUAUAUCUAUGUUUGGUAGAGAUUUUGUGAUUGAUUUAGUUUGUCUUCCGUUGACGGGUAUGGAUGUUAUCUUUGGUAUGAAUUGGUUAGAAUAUAAUCGGGUUCAUAUCAACUGCUUUAGUAAGACGGUACAUUUCUCUUCUGUUGAAGAAGAAGGUGAGGUUGAGCUUCUGUCUACGAAACAGAUGAAACAGUUUGAACGUGAUGGUAUCCUGAUGUAUUCUUUAAUGGCACAAUUGUCGUUAGAAAAUCAAGCUGUGGUUGAUGGUUUACCUGUAGUGAAUGAAUUUCCAGAAGUAUUCCCUGAUGAGAUUCCUGAUGUGCCACCAGAGAGGGAGGUUGAGUUCUCAAUUGAUCUUGUUCCAGGAACUAAGCCGGUGUCGAUGGCACCGUACCGUAUGUCAGCUUCUGAGUUGGCUGAGUUGAAGAAACAGUUGGAGGACCUAUUAGAUAAGAAGUUUGUAAGACCCAGUGUUUCACCUUGGGGAGCACCGGUGUUGUUGGUAAAGAAGAAGGAUGGUAGUAUGAGACUUUGCAUAGAUUACCGUCAGUUGAACAAAGUUACGAUCAAGAACAGGUAUCCGCUUCCUAGAAUUGACGACUUGAUGGAUCAGUUGGUUGGUGCCAAGAUUUUCAGUAAGAUUGAUUUGAGGUCUGGUUAUCAUCAGAUAAAGGUAAAGGAUGAGGAUAUGCAGAAGACGGCCUUUAGGACACGUUAUGGUCAUUACGAGUACAAAGUGAUGCCUUUCGGUGUUACUAAUGCGCCUGGUGUUUUUAUGGAGUACAUGAACCGAAUUUUCCAUGCUUUUCUGGAUAAGUUUGUGGUGGUAUUUAUUGAUGAUAUCUUAAUUUAUUCCAAGAAUGAGGAGGAACACGCAGAGCAUCUGAGAAUAGUGUUGCAAGUGUUGAAGGAAAAGAGGUUGUAUGCUAAGUUGUCAAAAUGUGAGUUCUGGUUAAAUGAAGUAAGUUUCCUGGGUCACAUUAUUUCUGGUAGUGGUAUUGCAGUGGAUCCUUCAAAGGUUGAUGCGGUAUCACAAUGGGAGACUCCGAAGUCGGUAACUGAGAUUAGAAGUUUUCUGGGUUUGGCUGGUUAUUACCGCAGGUUCAUAGAAGGGUUUUCGAAGUUGGCUCUUCCGUUGACACAGUUGACCUGUAAGGGUAAGUCUUUUGUGUGGGAUGCUCAGUGUGAGAGUAGUUUCAAUGAAUUGAAGCGAAGAUUGACAACUGCUCCUGUUUUGAUUUUGCCUAAACCAGAAGAACCGUUUGUUGUGUAUUGUGAUGCAUCUAAGCUGGGCUUAGGUGGUGUUCUGAUGCAAGAUGGUAGGGUGGUAGCGUAUGCUUCUAGGCAGUUGCGUAUUCAUGAGAAGAAUUAUCCUACACAUGACCUGGAGUUAGCUGCAGUGGUGUUUGUUUUGAAAAUUUGGAGGCAUUAUUUGUACGGUUCCAGAUUUGAGGUGUUCAGUGAUCAUAAAAGUUUGAAGUAUUUAUUUGACCAGAAGGAACUGAACAUGAGGCAGAGGAGGUGGUUAGAGUUACUGAAGGAUUUUGAUUUUGGCUUGAAUUACCAUCCUGGUAAGGCCAAUGUGGUUGCUGAUGCUUUGAGUAGGAAAACGUUGCACAUGUCUGCUUUGAUGGUGAAAGAGUUUGAGUUGUUAGAACAGUUCAGAGAUAUGAGUCUUGUCUGUGAAUUGUCACCCCAGAGUAUACAGUUGGGAAUGUUGAAAAUUGAUAGUGAUUUCUUGAACAGUAUCCGAGAAGCUCAGAAAGAAGAUUUGAAAUUUGUUGAUUUGAUGACUUCUGGUAAUGACACUGAGGAUAGUGAUUUCAAAGUUGAUGAUCAGGGGGUGCUGAGGUUCAGAGGUAGAGUUUGUAUUCCUGACAAUGAAGAGUUGAAGAAGUUGAUUCUUGAGGAGAGUCACAAGAGUAGGUUGAGUAUUCACCCGGGGGCUACAAAAAUGUAUCAUGAUUUGAAGAAACUGUUUUGGUGGUCCGGUUUGAAAAGAGAUGUUGCUCAGUUUGUUUAUGCCUGUUUGAUUUGUCAGAAGUCCAAGGUUGAGCAUCAGAAGCCUGCAGGGUUGUUGACACCGUUAGAUGUACCGGAGUGGAAGUGGGACAGUAUCUCCAUGGAUUUUGUAACGAGUUUACCGAACACUUCGAAAGGACAUGAUGCCAUUUGGGUAGUUGUCGACCGGUUGACGAAGUCGGCACAUUUCAUUCCUAUUAAUAUCAGUUAUCCGGUAGCGCAGUUAGCAGAGAUUUAUAUUCACAGUGUGGUGAAGCUUCAUGGUGUUCCGUCUAGCAUUGUGUCAGAUAGAGAUCCGAGGUUCACUUCUAGGUUCUGGAAAAGUUUACAGGACGCUUUGGGUUCAAAGUUGAAGUUGAGUUCGGCUUAUCAUCCUCAAACAGAUGGUCAGUCGGAGAGGACAAUUCAAUCAUUGGAAGAUUUGUUGAGAGUGUGUGUGCUUGAGCAAGGUGGAGCUUGGGAUAGUCACUUGCCUUUGAUUGAGUUUACUUAUAACAACAGCUAUCACUCGAGUAUUGGUAUGGCACCGUUCGAAGCCUUGUAUGGCCGGAGGUGUAGGACUCCUUUAUGCUGGUUUGAGUCGGGUGAAAGUGUUGUGUUGGGACCGGAUUUGGUGCAUGAGACUACUGAGAAAGUCAGGUUGAUAAGAGAAAAGAUGAAAGCUUCGCAGAGUCGACAGAAGAGUUACCAUGACAAGCGAAGAAAGGAUCUUGAGUUUCAGGAGGGUGAUCAUGUUUUUCUGAGGGUCACUCCUUUGACGGGUGUUGGACGUGCUUUGAAGUCGAGAAAGUUGACUCCUAAGUUUAUUGGUCCGUAUCAGAUUUCAGAGAGAAUUGGUACAGUGGCAUAUAGAGUUGGUUUGCCACCACAUCUUUCGAACUUGCACGAUGUGUUUCAUGUUUCUCAGCUUCGGAAGUAUGUUGCGGAUCCUUCUCAUGUGAUUCCGAGAGAUGAUGAUGUGCAGGUUAGGGACAACUUGACUGUUGAGACUGUGCCGUUGAGGAUUGAUGACAGGAAGGUGAAGUCCUUGAGGGGUAAAGAGAUACCUCUUGUGAGAGUCGUUUGGGGUGGAGCGACUGGUGAAAGUUUGACUUGGGAGCUGGAGAGUAAGAUGCGGGAGUCGUAUCCGGAGUUGUUUGCUUGAGGUAAGAUUUCGAGGACGAAAUUCUGUGAUUUGGGGAGAGUUGUAACGCCCUAGUUAUUUAAUUAAUUUUAUUAUGUGGAGUAUAUAUAUAUAUAUAUAUAUGUAUUAUUAUGUAUGAUGUUUGGUGAUUUAUGUGGAGUUUAUGCAUAUAUUUAUAUAUAUGUGAUUUUUGGAUGUUUUAUGUGGUACAUUAUUUUACCAUAUGGUUUAUUUAAUAAUAAUUAAAAAUAAGUAUGAAAUAUUAAUUAUUUUGGUGUUUGGGGAAUUAAUUGGAGUUAUUAGGAAUUUGGAGGAGUUAAGUGCAAUUAGGAGGGAGUUACUCUUAAGUGGGAAGUUAAGAAAAUAGGAAGUGAGAGUCAGAAACAGUUUUACGUGAAACCAAGCCAAGGAAGAGAAAACCAGGAGCAAGAGAGAAGAACCAGAGGAACCCUUUUUGCUGUGCAUUUUUCAUUCUGAACUAAGGUAAGGGUGGGGUUUACUUCAAUAGUGUAGAAAUUAAAGUCUGAUUUUGAGUUUAACAGGUUUUGGUGGAAAUUGGGGAUUUUGGGUUUUAUGAUGAAAUUGUAGUUUUUGAUGUUGUAAUCAUGAAUUGAUGUUAGAAAUAGGUUCCAGUUGCAUACAGGAAGUUAAUUUACAUCUGUAAACUGAUUUGGGGAGUGAUUGGAAGAAAAAUGGGAUUUUGGGGAAAAACCAGUUUUCUGGCCGUACUGACGUUCAUCGCUCGCCUCGCGAGCAUUCAUGUCUCGCCUCGCGAGUGAGCAAUGUCACUACUCGCCUCGCGAGCAGUCCAACUCGCCAUGGCGAGUAAGCCCAAACAAAAUGUGAUUUUUGAAAAGUUGUUAUAAGAUGUUUUGGGAGUGGUUUAAGGUACCUAGAUGAUUUUAAAGAUGAAUGGUGGAAGUUUUAGGUUAAAAAGAUGAAUAGGGAACUUAGAAUUGGAGUUUGAGUGGGAAAAUGUCACUUUUUCCCGAGAGCAUCUGUUUUUCACUCGCCUCGAGUUCGCCUUGAACUCGCCAUGGCGAGCUAGUGUUUUUAUGAACUCGCCAUGGCGAGCAGAUGUGCUCGCGAGGCGAGCUACUCAGUUCCUGAGUGUUGUUUUCGUGCAUGAGUGGUAGUAUCAUGAUGUUGUUGGAUUUAAGCAUAGUUAUAUAAUCAUGCACUAUUUGAUUGAUUGAAUUGCUGGACUUGAUGCUGAUUGAUGAUGAUGAAUGCAUUGUAUGUUUAAUUGUUAAUCAUACAUGUUAGUUAAGUGGAGUCACAUGGAGUUGCAUUGCAUGGUCAGUUGUAUGUAGAUAUACACAAGUAGGUCCAUUGCAUAUGCAUAAAAACAGCGGUGAGGGCUUCGGUCCUGGAGUACUAGUUGCUCAACAGCGGUGAGGGCUUCGGUCCUGAUGAAUGCUUUAACCAUUCAAAAGCGGUGAGGGC
rnacentral:lncRNA from 1 species